UACGUAGGUGGCAAGCGUCGUCCGGAUUUACUGGGUGUAAAGGGCGUGUAGCCGGGCUGACAAGUCAGAUGUGAAAUCCGGGGGCUCAACCCCUGAACUGCAUUUGAAACUGUUGGUCUUGAGUAUCGGAGAGGCAGGCGGAAUUCCUAGUGUAGCGGUGAAAUGCGUAGAUAUUAGGAGGAACACCAGUGGCGAAGGCGGCCUGCUGGACGACAACUGACGGUGAGGCGCGAAAGCGUGGGGAGCAAACAGG
rnacentral:rRNA from 1 species